UGGACAAAUUAUUGUAUUCGACUGUAUUCAUGGCGUGAAACAGGGGAUUACACUGUUUUUAAACGGAAAGUGAAUCAAUUACCAUAAUAGACUCCU
rfam:Nicotiana sylvestris Nsyl_contig81798, whole genome shotgun sequence.